rnacentral:rRNA from 1 species
UACGUAGGGGGCUAGCGUUGUCCGGAAUCAUUGGGCGUAAAGAGCGUGUAGGCGGCCCGGUAAGUCCGCUGUGAAAGUCGGGGGCUCAACCCUCGAAUGCCGGUGGAUACUGUCGGGCUAGAGUGCGGAAGAGGCGGGUGGAAUUCCUGGUGUAGCGGUGAAAUGCGCAGAUAUCAGGAGGAACACCAAUUGCGAAGGCAGCUCGCUGGGACGUAACUGACGCUGAGACGCGAAAGCGUGGGGAGCAAACGGG